CGGAGACAUGGGGAGGUAGUAUAGAGACAGUUGGGUAGAGUACGGAGAGAUAUGGGAGGUAGUAUAGAGACAGUUGGGUAGAGUACGGAGAGACAUGGGAGGUAGUAUAGAGACAGUUGGGUAGAGUACGGAGACAUGGGAGGUAGUAUAGAGACAGUUGGGUAGAGUACUGAGACAUGGGGAGGUAGUAUAGAGACAGUUGGUUAGAGUACGGAGAGACAUGGGAGGUAGUAUAGAGACAGUUGGGUAGAGUACGGAGACAUGGGAGGUAGUAUAGAGACAGUUGGGUAGAGUACGGAGACAUGGGAGGUAGUAUAGAGACAGUUGGGUAGAGUACGCAGACAUGGGGAGGUAGUAUAGAGACAGUUGGGUAGAGUACGCAGACAUGGGAGGUAGUAUAGAGACAGUUGGGUAGAGUACGGAGAGACAUGGGAGGUAGUAUAGAAAGAGUUGGGUAGAGUACGGAGACAUGGGAGGUAGUAUAGAGACAGUUGGGUAGAGUACG
rnacentral:sRNA from 1 species